UACGUAGGGUGCGAGCGUUUAAUCGGAAUUACUGGGCGUAAAGCGUGCGCAGGCGGUUUUGUAAGCCAGAUGUGAAAUCCCCGGGCUUAACCUGGGAAUGGCAUUUGGGACUGCAAGGCUGGAGUGCGGCAGAGGAGACUGGAAUUCCUGGUGUAGCAGUGAAAUGCGCAGAUAUCAGGAGGAACACCGGUGGCGAAGGCGGGUCUCUGGGCCGUAACUGACGCUGGAGGAGCGAAAGCGUGGGGAGCGAACAGG
rnacentral:rRNA from 1 species